rfam:Aedes albopictus isolate Foshan contig36413, whole genome shotgun sequence.
UGUUAUGUAGCUUAGUUGGUUAAAGCGCCAGACUAUCGAUAACGGAGUCGUGGGUUCGAAUCCCACCAAAACAA